CCUACGGGGUGCAGCAGUGAGGAAUAUUGGUCAAUGGACGAGAGUCUGAACCAGCCAAGUAGCGUGAAGGAUGACUGCCCUAUGGGUUGUAAACUUCUUUUAUAUGGGAAUAAAACGUUCCACGUGUGGGAUUUUGUAUGUACCAUAUGAAUAAGGAUCGGCUAACUCCGUGCCAGCAGCCGCGGUAAUACGGAGGAUCCGAGCGUUAUCCGGAUUUAUUGGGUUUAAAGGGAGCGUAGGUGGAUUGUUAAGUCAGUUGUGAAAGUUUGCGGCUCAACCGUAAAAUUGCAGUUGAAACUGGCAGUCUUGAGUACAGUAGAGGUGGGCGGAAUUCGUGGUGUAGCGGUGAAAUGCUUAGAUAUCACGAAGAACUCCGGUUGCGAAGGCAGUUCACUGGACUGCAACUGACACUGAGGCUCGAAAGUGUGGGUAUCAAACAGGAUUAGAUACCCCGGUAGUC
rnacentral:rRNA from 1 species